rnacentral:tRNA from 1 species
AAUUAAUUAGCUCAGUGGUUUGAGCACAGUGCUGGCAACAAUGACCAACACCAAGGGCGCGGGUUCAAUUCCUGCUUGGUUC